UACACUAGGCUUGGCUUGGGCUUUUAUUUGUUUGUGAUGGGCUGUUUGUUUAUUGCAGCUUCAGGAUGACACGAUGAACUCCUGCAGCUUCUGAUCCACUGUGUCGGAAGACUUUCUCACACAGCCCAGCCCAGCCACUCCACCCCAUGUACAGCUCCUACGAACAUCCCUUUGCCUUGAUCCCCAUCGAAUGAUGUCCUGCAUGUUUGUACCUGUCCAUCCUCCACUUGCCAAGGUCUUUUUGCAUUGGGGCAGAUUUGGGGCUAGUGUCAACGCUUUAGCAAGGAGCUGCCUACACGUGUAACUGCACCAGAGGGCAGCAGGAAUCAACCCACAGCUCAACACAGCGAUUCCCCUUGAUAGGAGUAGGGAGGCAUAUGCAACAUCUGCAUAUUCCAGCAAGAGACGCAAAAUACCUGAGGCCAGAGAGGCAGCGAGCAGAAGCUUCUCUCUGCCGCGCUGUGGAUGCCGCCUCGCCGAUUAGCACCGAGUGACUGUGGGACCCAGGCACUGACAUCCUCUGGUGCGAUGGGGCAACCCCUGGGCUGGGGCUCAGCGUCCCCGUCCGUGAGCCUGCAGGAGCGGCCGUGGCAGGAGGUGUGGGUGCAACCGUGUGCCGCCUUUCCCGUGCUGUUAACCCCCAGGGCCUCACUCGGGGAUGGACGGGUCAAGACACGAGCUGUGCCGUUACCUUGCUGAUGUCCCACAGCACCAGUCUGCUCUGACGCUUGGCAAACUCGAGGGCAGUCGCUCUGCCUACACCGUGGCCAGCACCGGUGACGAGAACGAGCUCUCCACUGACAGACUUCCUCUUCACAGGGA